rnacentral:ncRNA from 1 species
UGUAUAAUCGCUGCGUUCGAUAAAACGGAACCCGGUGCGAGGUAACUCUAUUCCGGGGCGGGCCCGCCGCUGUAAUCGGGGACGGACGUUGCACCAUGUCACUGCCAAGGGGAAACAGACCCGGCGGGAAGACGCAGCGAUCCGGACGAUCCGAAAGCCAGAAGACCUAUCGAGCACCAAGACAGCAA